GACGAACCGAGCGAACGUUGUUCGGAAUUACUGGGCGUAAAGGGCGCGUAGGCGGCCUUCUAAGUCAGACGUGAAAUCCCUCGGCUCAACCGAGGAACUGCGUCUGAUACUGGAAGGCUUGAAUCCGGGAGAGGGAUGUGGAAUUCCAGGUGUAGCGGUGAAAUGCGUAGAUAUCUGGAGGAACACCGGUGGCGAAGGCGGCAUCCUGGACCGGUAUUGACGCUGAGGUGCGAAAGCGUGGGGAGCAAACAGG
rnacentral:rRNA from 1 species